UUAUAGUGGGGAUAGCCUUUCGAAAGGAAGAUUAAUACCGCAUAAGAUUGUAGUAUCGCAUGAUAUAGCAAUUAAAGGAGCAAUCCGCUAUAAGAUGGACCCGCGUCGCAUUAGCUAGUUGGUGAGGUAAUGGCUCACCAAGGCGACGAUGCGUAGCCGACCUGAGAGGGUGAUCGGCCACAUUGGGACUGAGACACGGCCCAGACUCCUACGGGAGGCAGCAUG
rnacentral:rRNA from 1 species